UUUUUAAUUUCGUCGUCCUUGGUGACACCGCACCAGGUCGCAUCUUACUGGCCUUCUAACAAUGAGAAUGAAAACGCAAAAGGAUCGGAUCGCAUACGACCCUGGUUGUCCUCCUCGCAACCGCUACCGAGGCAAUCCGGCGAACUAUAUAUAGCCAUUUCCAGGCCGUGAGGAGGCAUUCCGUUGCAGCGUGCCUUCACAUCCAAUCUUCUUCCUCCUCCUCCUCAAUCGAGGGAUUGCUGUUUGAUCGAGUCAAAGAUGAAUGACGCGGAUGUCUCCAAUCAGAUCCUGCAGAUGGUGCGCUUCAUCCGCCAGGAGGCGGAGGAGAAGGCGAACGAAAUCAACGUCGCCGCCGAGGAGGAAUUUAACAUUGAAAAACUGCAACUUCUUGAGGCUGAUAGAAAGAAGAUCAGGCAAGAAUAUGAACGAAAGCAGAAGCAAAUUGAGAUUCGUAAGAAAAUCGAAUACUCCAUGCAGCUGAAUGCUUCUCGUAUAAAAGUUCUUCAAGCACAGGAUGGCUUGGUCAACUCCAUGAAAGAAGUGGCAGCAAAAGAGCUCCUGCUUGUGAGCAACAACCGGAAAGCUUAUGCAAAGCUCCUGAAAGAUCUGAUAGUCCAGAGCUUGCUAAGACUGAAAGAACCAGCCGUUGUAUUGCGUUGUCGCAAAGAUGACCUUGACCUUGUGGAAUCUGUUUUAACCUUGGCAAAGAAAGAAUAUGCCGACAAAUCAAGUGCAAAUCCUCCUGACAUUGGGAUAGACAAGAACAUUUUCUUGCCACCACCUCUGAAUCCUAAGAAUGCUCAUGGCUCAUAUUGCUCUGGAGGUGUUGUCUUGGCAUCUAGAGAUGGUAAAAUUGUCUGUGAGAACACACUAGAUGCAAGGCUUGAUGUUGUCUUCCGGAAGAAACUCCCCGAGAUCCGGAAGCAUCUUUUCGAUCAAACAGUUGCUUGAUCGCACUUCAAAUAAGUCCAGUACUCCAGAAUCACGUACAACGGGCUUAAUGUUGGCGAGGAAUUUAUGGGUCAAUAAAAUAACUGGGAUAUUGUCCGGCUUUUAUUGAUUUCUUGAAUUAAUUUCACUGGAGAGCAUUGCUCUACUCUUAAAAGGGCAUAAACUGCACCUGGGAUAUUUGCGGAUUGGAAUUCAUUAUGACUAGGACACUUGCGGAUUGGAAUUCCUUAGCGAUUUGACUAUUUCCAGCAAAGCCUGUCGCGACGAACCGCCUUCCGCCGCAGCCGCCGCCGCCGU